GAUCAUGGCUCAGGAUGAACGCUGACAGAAUGCUUAACACAUGCAAGUCUUUGGCGAAUCUGUGCUUGCACAGCCUAGCCAAGGCGGACGGGUGAGUAACGCGUAAAGAACUUGCCCUGCAGACAGGGAUAACAGACGGAAACGACUGAUAAUACCUGAUACAAUUGCCAGCACGCAUGUGCCCGGCAAUGAAAAGUGAUGCUACAGGAGAGU
rnacentral:rRNA from 1 species